AGGGUUUGAUCAUGGCUCAGGACGAACGCUGGCGGCAUGCCUAACACAUGCAAGUCGAACGAGAAAGUUCCUUCGGGAGCGAUUAAAGUGGCGCACGGGUGAGUAACGCGUAGACAAUCUACCCUUCAGUCUGGGACAACUUUUCGAAAGGAGAGCUAAUACCGGAUAACAAUGUUUAACCUAAGUUAAGUAUUUGAAAGCUUUAUGUGCUGAAGGAGGGGUCUGCGUCCCAUUAGCUAGUUGGUAAGGUAAAGGCUUACCAAGGCGACGAUGGGUAGCGGGUUUGAGAGGACGAUCCGCCACACUGGAACUGAGACACGGUCCAGACUCCUACGGGAGGCAGCAGUGGGGAAUAUUGCACAAUGGAGGCAACUCUGAUGCAGCAAUGUCGCGUGAGUGAAGAAGGCCCUUGGGUCGUAAAGCUCUUUUAUGGGGGAAGAUGAUGACGGUACCCCAAGAAUAAGCACCGGCUAACUAUGUGCCAGCCGCCGCGGUAAUAC
rnacentral:rRNA from 1 species